rnacentral:rRNA from 1 species
GAUGAACGCUGGCGGCGUGCCUAAUACAUGCAAGUCGAGCGAACAGACGAGGAGCUUGCUCCUCUGACGUUAGCGGCGGACGGGUGAGUAACACGUGGAUAACCUACCUAUAAGACUGGGAUAACUUCGGGAAACCGGAGCUAAUACCGGAUAAUAUAUUGAACCGCAUGGUUCAAUAGUGAAAUACGGUUUUGCUGUCACUUAUAGAUGGAUCCGCGCCGCAUUAGCUAGUUGGUAAGGUAACGGCUUACCAAGGCAACGAUGCGUAGCCGACCUGAGAGGGGGAUCGGACACACUGGAACUGAGACACGGUCCAGACUCCUACGGGAGGCAGCAGUAGGGAAUCUUCCGGAAUGGGCGAAAGCCUGACGGAGCAAAGCCGCGUGAGUGAUGAAGGUCUUCGGAUCGUAAAACUCUGUUAUUAGGGAAGAACAAAUGUGUAAGUAACUAUGCACGUCUUGACGGUACCUAAUCAGAAAGCCACGGCUAACUACGUG